CCUACGGGUGGCAGCAGUGAGGAAUAUUGGUCAAUGGGCGGAAGCCUGAACCAGCCAUGCCGCGUGCAGGAAGACGGCCCUACGGGUUGUAAACUGCUUUUCCGGGGGAAGAAUAAUCCCGACGUGUCGGGAGACGACGGUACCCCGGGAAUAAGGAUCGGCUAACUCCGUGCCAGCAGCCGCGGUAAUACGGAGGAUCCGAGCGUUAUCCGGAUUUACUGGGUUUAAAGGGUGCGUAGGCGGGAGCUUAGAAAUGCGGGGGCUCAACCUUCGAACGGCCGUUGAUACUGGGCGCCUUGGAUUCGGUCGAGGCGGGCGGAAUGCGACAUGUAGCGGUGAAAUGCUUAGAGAUGUCGCAGAACGCCGAUUGCGAAGGCAGCUCGCCGGGCCGAUAUUGACGCUGAGGCACGAAAGCGUGGGGAUCGAACAGGAUUAGAUACCCCAGUAGUC
rnacentral:rRNA from 1 species